rnacentral:rRNA from 1 species
AUUGAACGCUGGCGGCAUGCUUUACACAUGCAAGUCGAACGGCAGCGCGGGCUUCGGCCUGGCGGCGAGUGGCGAACGGGUGAGUAAUACAUCGGAACGUGCCCAGUAGUGGGGAUAGCUCGGCGAAAGCCGGAUUAAUACCGCAUACGACCUGAGGGUGAAAGCGGGGGAUCUUCGGACCUCGCGCUAUUGGAGCGGCCGAUGGCAGAUUAGCUAGUUGGUGGGGUAAAGGCCUACCAAGGCGGCGAUCUGUAGCUGGUCUGAGAGGACGACCAGCCACACUGGGACUGAGACACGGCCCAGACUCCUACGGGAGGCAGCAGUGGGGAAUUUUGGACAAUGGGCGAAAGCCUGAUCCAGCAAUGCCGCGUGUGUGAUGAAGGCCUUCGGGUUGUAAAGCACUUUUGGCGGGAACGAAAAGGACUGUGCCAAUACCACGGUUCGAUGACGGUACCCGCAGAAUAAGCACCGGCUAACUACGUG